rnacentral:pre_miRNA from 1 species
AGUAGAAUUGCUGGGUCAUAUGGUUAACUUUUUAAGGAACUACCAAAUUUUUUUCCAUAGCUACUGUACCAUUUUAUAUUCCCAACAGCAAU